CGCGCGGUGGCAGAGCAUUGAUGCACUGGCCUGCAAAACCAGAUUACGCGGGUGAAAUUCCCGCCCGCGCGUCCA
rnacentral:tRNA from 1 species